rnacentral:lncRNA from 10 species
CUUAAUAGGACCUCUAAAAAAUGAGAAAAAAUAUUCAAAUAAUCUAACCGCUAUAUGUUGAGAAGGAGCCACCAAAGAUUGAUAAAAUAUGAUGUGUAUGACUUGGACAUAGGAAAUGAUUCUAUAUAAUUAUCACUGGAUAGCUAACUCACGAAUUUUGUUUCUUUUUUCUUUCUUUUUCUGUUUUUGAGACAGGGUGUUGCUCUGUCACCCAGGCUGGAGGGCAGUGGCUUGAUCACUACUCACUGCACCCUUGACCUCCAGGGCUCAAGCAAUCCUGCCACUUCAGCCUCCUGAGUAGCUGGGAUGACAGACAUAUGCCACUGCACUGGGCUAAUGUACUUUUUUUUUUUUAUAGAGACAGAGUCUUGCAUGCUGCUCAAGUUGGUCUUAAACUCCUGAGCUCAAGCAAUCCUCCUGCCUAAGCCUCCCAAUUGCUGGGAUUACAGGUGUGAGUUAAAGUGCCCAGCCACCUUGUUCUUAAAAAUAAAGAUCUACCCAAGGACUGAAUGAUAGAAAAGGAUGAUACAAAGAGUCACUUUCUUACCUUCUCCUCCACCAAAUUAAAAAAAAAAAGCCUUCAUUCAUAACAGAAUUUUUUUUUUUUGAAACAGAGUCUCACUUUGUCUCCCAGGCUGGAGUGCAGUGGAGUGAUCUUGGCUCACUGAAAUCUCCACCUCCUGGGUUCAAGUGAUUCUCCUGCCUCAGACUCCUGAGUAGCUGAGACUACAGGUGCCCACCACCAUGCUCAGAUGAACAAUUGAAGUUUUUAGUUUAACUUGUCCAGGAUUACGUAGCUA